GAUGAACGCUCGCUACAGGCUUAACACAUGCAAGUCGAGGGGAAACGGCAUCGAAAGCUUGCUUUUGAUGGGCGUCGACCGGCGCACGGGUGAGUAACGCGUAUCCAACCUGCCCAUCACUUGGGAAUAGCCUUGCGAAAGUAAGACUAAUGCCCAAUGACAUCCCACGAAGGCAUCCGAAUGGGAUUAAAGAUUUAUCGGUGAUGGAUGGGGAUGCGUCUGAUUAGCUUGUUGGCGGGGUGACGGCCCACCAAGGCAACGAUCAGUAGGGGUUCUGAGAGGAAGGUCCCCCACAUUGGAACUGAGACACGGUCCAAACUCCUACGGGAGGCAGCAGUGAGGAAUAUUGGUCAAUGGGCGAGAGCCUGAACCAGCCAAGUAGCGUGCAGGAUGACGGCCCUAUGGGUUGUAAACUGCUUUUAUAAGGGAAUAAAGUGGGUCACGUGUGACUUUUUGCAUGUACCUUAUGAAUAAGGACCGGCUAAUUCCGUG
rnacentral:rRNA from 1 species